UACGGAGGAUCCGAGCGUUAUCCGGAUUUAUUGGGUUUAAAGGGUGCGCAGGCGGAAGAUUAAGUCGGCGGUGAAAUUUUGCAGCUCAACUGUAAAAGUGCCUUCGAAACUGGUUUCCUUGAGUGUAGAUGAAGUAGGCGGAAUUUGUGGUGUAGCGGUGAAAUGCAUAGAUAUCACGAGGAACUCCGAUUGCGCAGGCAGCUUACUAAACUACUACUGACGCUCAGGCACGAAGGCGUGGGGAUCAAACAGGAUUAGAUACCCGGGUAGU
rnacentral:rRNA from 1 species